UACAGAGGGGCAAGCGUUGUUCGGAAUUACUGGGCGUAAAGGGCGCGUAGGCGGCCUGUUAAGUCGAACGUGAAAUCCCCGGGCUCAACCCGGGAACUGCGUCCGAAACUGGCAGGCUCGAAUCCGGGAGAGGGAUGCGGAAUUCCAGGUGUAGCGGUGAAAUGCGUAGAUAUUGGGAGGAACACCAGUGGCGAAGGCGGCUACCUGGACCGGUUCUGACGCUGAUGCGCGAAAGCGUGGGGAGCAAACAGG
rnacentral:rRNA from 1 species